GGCUGGUCCAAGGGCAGUGGUAUUUACAACUAAUUGAUCACAACCAGCUACAGAUUUUUUUGUUCCUUCUCCACCCUUACUGUUUCACUUGACUAGCCAUAA
rnacentral:Y_RNA from 1 species